rnacentral:rRNA from 1 species
AUGGAGUUCAAGCACCUGUGCCUGGUAAGGUUCAAGGAGGGCGUGGUGGUGGAUGACAUCAUUGAGGAGCUCACCAAGCUUGCCGGGGAGCUCGACACCGUCAAAUUCUUCGGGUGGGGAAAAGACGUGUUGAACCAGGAGGCGCUCACGCAUGUCUUCAACGACGUAUUCUCCAUGAGCUUCGCCAGCGUCAAGGACCUGGUGGCGUGCAUGGGCCACGAGAAGCACUCUACUUUCGCCUGCCAUGCUGGCCACACCGACAACAGCGAGGCCGUUUUUGGUUCCUCAUCAAGCAGCAGCCGCCGCCCCCUAGAAGUUCAGAAUUCUAAUGGCGACGUCCAACUUCGGAGAGUAGCACAGCACGACCAUGGCUCCCAGUAUCCUCUCUGUGAACUUGUUUUUACCUGUAUAAUCGCCACUGUGAUGUGCUGGACUUGUUACAAUUUUGAGGAGCUUGCGGCUGAAUCUCCUGUAUAUUUUUUGUUCUACAACAGUUCAGAACUCCAUGUUUCCCCCGAGCAAACGUGCACCCUCAAGGCCUCAACUCUGUAG